CUCAGGAUGAACGCUGGCGGCGUGCUUAACACAUGCAAGUCGAACGAUGAACCUCGCUUGCGGGGGGAUUAGUGGCGAACGGGUGAGUAACACGUGAGUAACCUGCCCUUAACUCUGGGAUAAGCCUUGGAAACGGGGUCUAAUACUGGAUAUUGACUUUACCUCGCAUGGGGUUUGGUUGAAAGAUUUAUUGGUUUUGGAUGGACUCGCGGCCUAUCAGCUUGUUGGUGAGGUAAUGGCUCACCAAGGCGACGACGGGUAGCCGGCCUGAGAGGGUGACCGGCCACACUGGGACUGAGACACGGCCCAGACUCCUACGGGAGGCAGCAGUGGGGAAUAUUGCACAAUGGGCGAAAGCCUGAUGCAGCGACGCCGCGUGAGGGAUGACGGCCUUCGGGUUGUAAACCUCUUUCAGUAGGGAACAAGGCCAGCAUUUUUGUUGGUUGAGGGUACUUGCAGAAGAAGCGCCGGCUAACUACGUGCCAGCAGCCGCGGUAAUACGUAGGGCGCAAGCGUUAUCCGGAAUUAUUGGGCGUAAAGAGCUCGUAGGCGGUUUGUCGCGUCUGCCGUGAAAGUCCGGGGCUCAACUCCGGAUCUGCGGUGGGUACGGGCAGACUAGAGUGAUGUAGGGGAGACUGGAAUUCCUGGUGUAGCGGUGAAAUGCGCAGAUAUCAGGAGGAACACCGAUGGCGAAGGCAGGUCUCUGGGCAUUAACUGACGCUGAGGAGCGAAAGCAUGGGGAGCGAACAGGAUUAGAUACCCUGGUAGUCCAUGCCGUAAACGUUGGGCACUAGGUGUGGGGGACAUUCCACGUUUUCCGCGCCGUAGCUAACGCAUUAAGUGCCCCGCCUGGGGAGUACGGCCGCAAGGCUAAAACUCAAAGGAAUUGACGGGGGCCCGCACAAGCGGCGGAGCAUGCGGAUUAAUUCGAUGCAACGCGAAGAACCUUACCAAGGCUUGACAUGAACUGGAAAUACCUGGAAACAGGUGCCCCGCUUGCGGUCGGUUUACAGGUGGUGCAUGGUUGUCGUCAGCUCGUGUCGUGAGAUGUUGGGUUAAGUCCCGCAACGAGCGCAACCCUCGUUCUAUGUUGCCAGCACGUGAUGGUGGGGACUCAUAGGAGACUGCCGGGGUCAACUCGGAGGAAGGUGAGGACGACGUCAAAUCAUCAUGCCCCUUAUGUCUUGGGCUUCACGCAUGCUACAAUGGCCGGUACAAUGGGUUGCGAUACUGUGAGGUGGAGCUAAUCCCAAAAAGCCGGUCUCAGUUCGGAUUGGGGUCUGCAACUCGACCCCAUGAAGUCGGAGUCGCUAGUAAUCGCAGAUCAGCAACGCUGCGGUGAAUACGUUCCCGGG
rnacentral:rRNA from 1 species